AGGAUGAACGCUGGCGGCGUGCUUAAUACAUGCAAGUCGAGCGGUAAGGCCCCUUCGGGGGUACACGAGCGGCGGACGGCUGAGUAACGCGUGGGAACGUACCCCGAAGUGAGGGAUAAGCACCAGAAAUGGUGUCUAAUACCGCAUGUGCUCUAAGGAGUAAAGCUCCGGCGCUUCGGGAACGGCCUGCGUCCGAUUAGCUUGUUGGUGAGGUAAUGGCUUACCAAGGCGACGAUCGGUAGCUGGUCUGAGAGGAUGACCAGCCAGACUGGGACUGAGAACGGCCCAGACUCCUACGGGAGGCAGCAGUAGGGAAUUUUCCACAAUGGACGAAAGUCUGAUGGAGCAACGCCGCGUGCAGGAUGAAGGCCUUAGGGUCGUAAACUGCUUUUAUGUAUGAAGAUUAUGACGGUAGUACAUAGAAUAAGGAUCGGCUAACUCCGCGCCAGCAGCCGC
rnacentral:rRNA from 1 species